rnacentral:rRNA from 1 species
GGAUGAACGCUGGCGGCGUGCCUAAUACAUGCAAGUCGAGCGAACGGACGAGAAGCUUGCUUCUCUGAUGUUAGCGGCGGACGGGUGAGUAACACGUGGAUAACCUACCUAUAAGACUGGGAUAACUUCGGGAAACCGGAGCUAAUACCGGAUGAUAUUUUGAACCGCAUGGUUCAAAAGUGAAAGACGGUCUUGCUGUCACUUAUAGAUGGAUCCGCGCUGCAUUAGCUAGUUGGUAAGGUAACGGCUUACCAAGGCAACGAUGCAUAGCCGACCUGAGAGGGUGAUCCGCCACACUGGAACUGAGACACGGUCCAGACUCCUACGGGAGGCAGCAGUAGGGAAUCUUCCGCAAUGGGCGAAAGCCUGACGGAGCAACGCCGCGUGAGUGAUGAAGGUCUUCGGAUCGUAAAACUCUGUUAUUAGGGAAGAACAUAUGUGUAAGUAACUGUGCACAUCUUGACGGUACCUAAUCAGAAAGCCACGGCUAACUACGUG